rnacentral:rRNA from 1 species
AGGUGGUAUAGGAUGGGCAUGCGUCUGAUUAGUUAGUUGGCGGGGUAAUGGCCCACCAAGACGAUGAUCAGUAGGGGUUCUGAGAGGAAGAUCCCCCACACUGGCACUGAGAUACGGGCCAGACUCCUACGGGAGGCAGCAGUAGGGAAUAUUGGUCAAUGGAUGCAAGUCUGAACCCAGCCAUGCCGCGUGCAGGAAGAAGGCCUUCUGGGUUGUAAACUGCUUUUGCCAGGGGAUAAAAUUUCCAUGCGUGGAAAACUGAAGGUACCUGGUGAAUAAGCCACGGCUAACUACGUG